GGUAUUUACAUAUCUUGGAGAGAUUUAGAGAAUAAACUCUAAGAUCUUUGGUAUUUAAGUGUCAACAUCAAUUUAUUUAUUUAUUGCUGAGCUGACUGUAACUGACUCAAUAACAAAUUUAAUCAUGUAUUGCGCUGGGAAAGAAAUAUUCUCAUUAUGUAUUUUCUCCAAAUAAUGACCCACCAUUGCAAUUUGAAUAUCCACUGUAAAUAUCAAUAAUAUCGAGUAAUUACU
rnacentral:lncRNA from 1 species